GUUUUGCAUCUUUUCUUAAAGGUACUGAAGAUAAUUAUGCGACUAUUCCAGAUGAAGCUCUCACUAAUGAAGAGCAAUAUGCUGAAGCUAGUGGGCCCAGUUAUUUAGAAUUGAAACCAGCAGACAUGAAGAUUUCUUACGUUAAUGUUUCAAGGAAACCUGAUGGAUUUGGUAAUGAAAUCGAGGAUAGAACAGCAGAAACAAAUUUCUAAAUGAAAAUUGAAAAAGUGCCUUCAAAAAUCGCUUCGAUAAUAUUUUACGUCAUAAAAUAAUAUUUU